rnacentral:rRNA from 1 species
GUUAGUACUUGGAUGGGAGACCGCCUGGGAACGGC